UUGCUGUGAUGACUUUAUAUUGUGGUUUCCAUCACUGAAUGUGUAAUAAUGAGGACACCUAUUUCCUUGGCUGUGUCUGAGCAA
rfam:Xenopus laevis strain J chromosome 5L, whole genome shotgun sequence.